GACGAACGCUGGCGGCGUGCUUAACACAUGCAAGUCGAACGGAAAGGCCCUGCUUGCAGGGUACUCGAGUGGCGAACGGGUGAGUAACACGUGGGUGAUCUGCCCUGCGCUUCGGGAUAAGCCUGGGAAACUGGGUCUAAUACCGGAUAGGAGCCAUUUUUAGUGUGAUGGUUGGAAAGUUUUUUCGGUGUAGGAUGAGCUCGCGGCCUAUCAGCUUGUUGGUGGGGUAAUGGCCUACCAAGGCGGCGACGGGUAGCCGGCCUGAGAGGGUGGACGGCCACAUUGGGACUGAGAUACGGCCCAGACUCCUACGGGAGGCAGCAGUGGGGAAUAUUGCACAAUGGGCGCAAGCCUGAUGCAGCGACGCCGCGUGGGGGAUGACGGCCUUCGGGUUGUAAACUCCUUUCGCUAGGGACGAAGCUUUUUGUGACGGUACCUAGAUAAGAAGCACCGGCUAACUACGUG
rnacentral:rRNA from 1 species